UACGUAGGGUGCGAGCGUUGCCCGGAUUAUUGGGCGUAAAGGCGCGUAGGCGGCUCGGCACGUCCGUUGUGAAAUCGCCCGGCUCAACUGGGCGGGGUCAGCGGAUACGGUCGAGCUUGAGCAAGCUAGGGGGCAAUGGAAUUCCCGGUGUAGUGGUGGAAUGCGUAGAUAUCGGGAGGAACACCAGUGGCGAAGGCGGUUGCCUGGAGCUUUGCUGACGCUGAGGCGCGAAAGCGUGGGGAGCGAUCCGG
rnacentral:rRNA from 1 species